AGCGGGGCCGGAUCUGCACUCGCCGCCCCGCCUCACUGGACUGUACGGUGAGCUGGCCCGGGACUUACCCCUCCCGUCCCAGGUCGACCCUUCCGGAGCGGUGCUAAACCAGGAAGGAGUCUUCCGAGUCCACCCAGAGCUCGCGGGGGUCCCGGGGCCCCCAGGUUCGGCGACGCCUCUGAACCCACCGCCCGCGGGGACGACCCUGCGGAGGACCCUAGGAGACCCCGCGGAGCCCCCUGAAAGCCCGGCUGCCAAGGUCCGCGGGAAGCCGCCCUUUCCCGGCGGUGACAUUGGUCCAACCCAGCCCGCACCUCUGCAGAGGCCAGCCCGGGGCCACGGAACGAGCCUCAGGUAUAACUGGUGAUCAAUAACCCAAUGGAACAGAGAAGACUUUGAAUGAAAUGCACCCCGAUUCCUGCUUUGAGCACCCAAAAUGAGGCACCUGUGUUUGCAACCUGGUCGCUGACCUCCUGAGUCGCCUGGCCAGGGCUCUGUCCCCUCCUCUUCCAGGCCUUCCUGACAGCGAGGUCACUCCAUGUUGCUGCCACCAAGCUGAGCCCUCUCAGUAGGCAGCUCACUCACACCUCACAGCUGUACGGGCCCGUACUUCGUAGAUAAGGAAAUGGAGGUUCCUGUGAGUGAGGUUAAGUGACUCCUGCUUCCUGCUUCCUACAGAUGCUCAAGAGGAGCCUGAGCUAUGGAAUUCUACACCUGAGAUCUUGGAGAAGAGGAUUGAAUGCACAUUUUAGAGGAAGUGGCCAGGGAUGGCAUCUUUUUUUUUCUGAUUAUAUAAGCAAUACAUGGAGUUCCUGUC